GGCCGAGCCGCCGAGGCCCACACCCAGGCGGUUAGACUUAGGAGGAUGCGCAAAAGCACCCUGCGUGUAAACCAACGCACGAACGCACGCAGUGUAACUUCAGCACGGACAGUAUCAAGUGCGCCGAUGUUAAGCAAGUGGGUAGUGUGACGCUAACCACAGAAGUUCCCAGCCGGCAGUAUCCCGCCAGUAAGGUGGUGUAUUACGUGUCCCUGCACAGAGUUAUGGAGCGCCGCACUGCACUAAGGUAUGCGGAAAGGAAGGCACGGAGGGAGAGAGGGAUAUACUGAGGCAAGAAAGGACGGAAGGAAGAGGGGAGGGAGAGAGGAGAGAAACGGUGGCAGCAGACUGAGUUAUUCGCACAAACGCUUAACAUUCAAAUAUUCACGCCUUACUCAAGCUAUUCAAAUUUGCGAGUCGUGUGAUGUUAUUCAGGGAAGGCGAACAGGAAGAGGAAGAGAGAUAAGAGCCUGGGCGAAAAAAAAGGAAGAAAAAAAAAAGAGAUUACCAGUAGCAGUGCGAGUUGUGCAAGGAUGAAAGUCGGACACGAAAAGGGAAGAGGGAUAAGAGAAGGGCUCGGUGAAAGAAGAUAUGAAGGAAUAUGAAGGAGAGAAAUGUUCGGAAAAAUAAAUAAAUAAAGUGGGAGAAAAGAAAUGAUUCGAUAAAAGGAAAUAUGAAGGAAAAGGGAGAAGAGAAAUGUUCAGAAAAAAUAAAGAAGAUGGAGAAAAAAAUGAUUCGACAAAAGAAAAGGUGAAGGAGGAAGGAGAAGAUUUUAAGUUCGAGAAAAGGAAAAUAAAGAAAAGAAUAAAAGAAAAAGAUGGAAGAAGAAGAUUAUGGUAAAAAAAAAAGGAGAAAUCAGUAUUAGUAGAAGUUCGGCAAAAAAAAAAUGAAAGGUGGGCAGUGGAAGAGAAUGAUUCGAAAAAAAAUAAAUAAAUAGAAUAAGGAGGAAGAAGAGAAUGAUUCUGAAAAAGAAAAAAAAAGGAAGAAGAUAAUGGUUCGGAAAAAGAAAAUAUGAAGGAAGAAGAGAAUAGUUAAAAAGAAAAUGAAGGAAGAUGAUGAAAAUUAUAAAAAAAGGAGAGGGAGAAGAUCAUAGAAAAAAAAGAAAAGACAAAAAAGUUGAUAGUAUGAAUAGAAGUUGAACCCCCCUAAAAAAAACGGUAUUAGUAGAAGUUGGCCACCCACCCUACACCCCAAAAAAAAAAAAAAAAAAAGAAAAAAAAACUGAACGGGAAAAGGAAGCUUGAGAGAGGACGGUUAUGGAAAAGCCAAGAAAAGUUAGGUGUUGUAGUUAUCUAAGAGUGCCUAGAGGAAUAUUAUAAGUCAGGGGAGCGUAGGACCGUGGUUGUAGGAAGACGAACAGUGGCAGUAGUGGUUAUGAAUGUAAGGAAGAAGGAAUAAGGAGAGAAGGAAAAAAGUUAUGAAAGUUCAGGAGUAGUAGUGGUAGUAGUGGUAGAAAUUAUUAUUGUUGUUGUUGUUGUUGUUGUUGUUGUUGUUGUUGUUGUUAUUGUUGUAGGAGUUAUAGCGCUUUUUAUGUUGUGGUGGCGAUAGUAGUAGUAGUAGUAGUAGUAGUAGUAAUAAUAGUAGUAGUAAUAGUAACAUGGAUUUACGUGUUGGAAAUCUAGUUUUGAGAAGGGAAAAAGAGAAAAAAAACUAUGAUAGUAAAUAAAAAGGAAAAUAAAGCAAUAAAUGGAGGA